rnacentral:lncRNA from 1 species
CAGAAAGGGGCUCCCACAGUGCAGCGGCGGGCUGAAGGGCUCCUCAAGCGCGGCCAGAGUGGGCGCCAAGGCCGAGGAGGCGCCGAGAGCGAGCAAGGGCUGCGAGCGCUGCCAGCAUGCUGUCACCUCUCAACAACACCAUUGACAUUUUGUGCAGCUGAAGGCAGCAGGCCAGAUGGACAAUGUGACUAAUGUGGAGUCACACUCCAGAAGGAGUCAGAUGCAUGCAUUCUGCUUCCUAGGGUCCAUAUUUGAUCUGACUGGAAAUGCUUUGCCAGACUCUGUUAUUACAUGAUAUUCUCAAUGAAGACUGUCUCCUCUAUGCUGCUGAUAGUGAGGAAUUCUCAAAGCAGGUGUCAAAUGCUGUUUUCUAUAUUCCUCACCCUCUUGGAAAUACACAUCAAGGUCUCUAAAUGGUCACUGGGCCUGAAUAAGGAGGACCAAAUCACCAAAAAACAUCUCUUAGGAAGCAGAAAAGAGGACAGAAAGAGUACCAGCUAUAAAG